rnacentral:rRNA from 1 species
AGUGAACGCUGGCGGCGUGCCUAACACAUGCAAGUCGAACGGGCUAGUGCUUCGCACUAGUCUCUUUCUGGGGUUGUUACUCUAAGGCUACCUGCUAAGGUUAUUGCUUUAAAGCAGGGGUUUUAGGAGACUUUCCCCGAAAGGGGCCAGUGCGGAGCACUGGCCAGUGGCGAACGGGUGAGUAACACGUGGGUAAUCUACCCUCGAGUGGGGAAUAAGCUUCCGAAAGGGGGUCUAAUGCCGCAUAACGUUUCAUAACGAUGGUUAUGAAACCAAAGCCCAAAAGGCGCUCGAGGAGGAGCCUGCGUCCUAUCAGCUUGUUGGCAGGGUAAUGGCCUACCAAGGCUAUGACGGGUACCGGGCCUGAGAGGGUGUCCGGCCACACUGGAACUGAGACACGGUCCAGACUCCUACGGAGGCAGCAGUGGGGAAUUUUGCGCAAUGGGGAAACCCUGACGCAGCGACGCCGCGUCGGAGGAUGACGGCCUUCGGGUUGUUAACGUACCUCGUCGAGAAGGGACGAAGUACCCGACGAACGGACG